UGGUAAAUAUAAUUUAUUCUGUUUCUCAACUGUAUCCUGCUCAAGAUUAUCCUUGAUGAUUUCUCUGCAGAUAAUUAUGUUUUACCAAAUGGCUCUAUCAGUUUGCCUUUUUACAUUAUUAAGUUUUCAUUAUGUACUGAGGAAUAUGAAAUUACUUCUUAUACCUUAAACCUGGGGACAUCCAGAACCCAAUGAGUUAGAUGCUGUGUUUUUAGACACGAUGAGGUAGAUGCAGUGUUUUUAGAAACGUGUGCUGACUUGGUCGUAGUUAGCAUAGGUCGUAUGGUCUUGAAAGAAAUCCAAGUCUGGUUUUAUUCCUAAAAGGUUCAUGGUCUGUAGCGAGGUAGAGAAAUUCCAGCCUUUGUAUUACCUCCUCGGAAACACUAGAGAUUUUACGACCUCCGUGCUUGAGGGGGAGCGAGGGGUGGGGAAUGGUGGUGGGAAGUAGUUCUGCGUCUCAGGCCUCCUUUCGAAGGAUGGGGGUUUGGCGACGAUUAAGUGCUGUUUGGAGAAGUGCUUUAUGAUGAUGCACCUUACGUACGUGCAGACACAGGCACCCAGAAUUUAGAGAAGAAUGAUUGAGCACCUAUUAAUUGCCACACACUGAGCUGGAAGCUAAAGAUAAAAAUAGAGUAGAACACCUCUCGGACCAGGCCGGUGGGGCCCUGACUACCUGAGAGGCAAAUUCUAGAGAAGCAGCCACGAAACAGCACAGGGCAGCUAAAACGUGCUCUCUCUUCUAUAGAUGAGGUCGUGCAACAUGUGUCUUUAAGUUAAGGAUCUUAGGUGAAGGAUCCUUACAUUAUUUGAGUGACCCCUAAAUACAAGUCCACGUGUCCUUAUAAGUGAGAGGAGAUGGAGUUUGGAGGCCGGCACACGGAAGGCGAGGCUGGUACUGAGACGGGGGAGACGCUUUCACAGGCCAGGGGCACCUGCAGCCACCAGAGCCAGAGGAGGCAGGAAGGAGGCUCCCUGGAGCCUCUGGAGGAAUUUGAUCCUGGACUUCUGGCUUCCAGAACUGUGAGAAGAUAAAUGUGCAUUGUUUUAAGCCACUAAGUUUGAGGAAAUGUUGUCAUAGCAGCCGUGGGAAGCGAAUCGGUCUUUUUAGGUAAAUAAUACAGCUUUUAGGGAAUAUCUUCUUAGAAAUAUAGGGAAUUUGAGCCCAGAACCCCUAGAAGUACUUACCUAAUUGCUAACCUCUACUAGGUACUGAGAGCUCUUUGGAGGGCUUCAUUCCUUUAACACCCCUGGGGUACUGCUGAUGCUCCCCACUUACACAGAAGACCAUAGACAAGGCAGGUGAGGGGUGGUCCCCAUGGUGGCUGCAGCCCCUGAGGGUCUGAUUGUGAGAGAGACGUCUCUAUCCCAUAUGCAAAGGCUGAGAAAUGGCCCCAAAUGCAUUUCCUUUAAGUGGUCAUUUCUUGUGAGACAAAAAGAUAACAGGAAUUAGGAAAUCAGAAUCAGGAGGAAUAUACAACUGUUUUAUUGUACUUGAGGUUGUAGUUCAAAAUGGGAACAGGUUCGUAAGUCGAGUAGAUGGCAACGGCUGAUGCAGCCCCUCCCCACACACAGCAGUAGAACGAUGUUGAGAUCGUGCAGAGUACUGUGUGAUAUUCUCCAGAUUUGGUGCUUCAAGAUAGAUUUUUCGUAAAAAAAACUCUGCAAAGAUAGACAUUAAAUUUAUUGAAGCUGAACUAGCAGAAGCUUUGUCAAUUACCUAUACUGUAACUGCUUUAAAAAGGAAAACAAAGAAACCUCUGAUGUCACCAUUAUCUAAACUGGUGUUAAGAAUUUGAAAGGUAUUGAGAACAUGAAUUUGUAAUUAAAAUACAUUAUAAUCUAAAUAAAUCGUAUUUUUUAAAAAGUGGUUCAUUUGAAAUCCAGAGAGAUAUGAAAAAAAUCAUGUGGACUUCCAAAUUAUUUUCUAUUUUAGCUUUCUAGAUGUAGUGCAGUAAAAUGUACUAUUUCUUACGUGUUUUAAUAUUUUGAUGUUAGGAGUUGUAGUAUCAAACAUGCCUUAUGAGAGUCAAAAUUUUGGGAUACUACAAUAUCUAAAACAAUGAUGCUUAGCUAAGAGUUAAGAAAUUAGAACCAAACUCUGAAACUGCUAAUAACAAAAUAUAAUAAAGGAUAAUGACACACACAGAUAAGACCACUCUUUCUCUGUAUAUAAAAAAAUUUGUUCUUUGUAGCAACAAAAAUGAAAUAGAACAAAUCAUAAUAUACUUUGUAAUGUAUAACCCUUAUAUAAGAUUUAGUUAUAUUAAAAAAUUAAUUUCUAUGUUGAAUAAUACUGUAAAUUUAGUAAUCAAAUAAAGAGGAAAAGCUAGUAGCUGAAAAAAAGGAGGUAAACUGAAAGCUUUCCUAUCAGAAUAAGAUACAAACCCACUAGGAAACAGCUGCAUAUGUGAAUUACGAGCUUUGUAAGUGAUGGGAUGUAAACAUUCUCCUAUGUAACUCUUCCUUAUUGAAUUGAGGAGAGGAGCAGCACAGAUCUAUGAAAAUGCUAUGAGCUUUAUGUAUCGCAAUUAUUUUCUUCCAAAGCUUUAUCAAAUUUUAUCGUGACCUACAGAUUCUUCUGUUUUUAUCAGGGUGGAAUCGGAAUGCUUUUAGAUUUGUAAUUUCCAUGUUGGCAGGAGGAAGGGAGAAUGGGAUGGGGAGGGGUCCGCACACACAGGCCUGGAGUUGGAGGGAGGUCCAGGGUUCAGCUGCGCUAGGGUCACCUGGUGCAGGGCGCUGCCUGGGGUGUGGUGUUACCACAGUGGGCUGUGCAAAGUCUCAGGGCGGCUUUUGCUUUACUGGCCUCGAGCCGAAUGGAGAAAGUGAACGGAGAAGGCUGGGGUCACAGAAUUGCAUCCUGCAGGCCCUGCCUUGCUGACCCGGGGCUGGAGUUUGCGUUUCGGGUGCCGCUGUGCAGCUAGAGGGAACCUUCAGGGAUACGAUUCGAAUCUGUCAUCUUCUUUGGAGUAAAUAUGUUUCCUUUAUUCCUUUGAUGUUUGUAUGAAUAGUGGCAUGGUAUCUAUACUGAAAGUGCAUAUGAGAUGGAAAAGUACAAGGAAGGAAUGUUCCUGUGACCUGGUCUAUACCUGACUAGCACCUCAUGGAUUUCCUUCUGGCUUUUUCUGGUGUUUAUUCUGUAAAUCAAACUCAUCCUCGAGAUAGAAUUUUCUAUCCUGCUUUUUAGCAUUCUCAUUAUAAAAUGAUAAUUUUCAUAAUUUGCUAAGAAAUAUCCAUGAAUUACUGUCAACCCCCUGCUUAAGGUUCUUCUGUAUCAGUGGAGAGGCUUUGGGCAGGUGUUCCCACAGGAGGAGCCUCUGUUAAUGACACGCUCCUUUGUUCCUUUGCUCUUCUGUCUGGAAAGCAGCACCCGUCCUUGCUCCACUGGCUCAGGCGUCUGUGACUAGGGUGACAGCAUUGCUCGGGAAUCCCAGCUGAUAGCUAGGCCUGUCCCCUGGUAGAGUCCCACAGCGGGGAAUGCUGGGCUUCUGGGCCCGGCAGUUCUCCUGAGAGCUCAGGCUGCCUGCUCUCCUUUCUUGGGAAUGCUUCAGUGCACGGGGCUUUUCAGGAGUUUUCUUCAAUAACACUAGAAAAGAGAUGUUCUAGGCUACACAAUUUGCUGGGGGAGUUUUUCUGUGCAGAAGCAUACUAUAUGUCCAUUUUUUUCCCCCAAAAACAAUCACCUCAAUUUGUGAAGACAGAAAAUCCAAUCAUCAAGUGUUGCCUGAAAAGCAAAUACAUAUCACUCUCAUUCUUAGACAUAAUGUGGCUUCUGCAGACCACACACCACUCCCUUCUAAAGAAAACAGCACGGACUCCCCUCCAGGAAGAGCUUUUCCUGCUGAAUUUAUAUCAGGAUCCAUCAAAGAAAAGCAACGGAAACGCAGGUGCCUGCAGCCAUUAAACAGAAAGACAAGUUUUUUUUUUUUUUUUUUGGCAAAUUUAGAAACUGGUGAGGAAACAUUUCAUGCUAGAGCAACUUCUGUAAUUAAGGUAUUUUCUUCCUCUAAAAUAGAAGGGUUUGUGUGAGUUCAA